GCCCAAACCAGCUGCACAGCUUCUGCCCUCCUACCCCGCUCUCGCGCGAAUGGAACUGCCUGGACUGCACCAGGCGCGAGGAUCCAGGGGUUGGCAGGUGGAAAUGGGUGGGCGUCACCCGCCCACGCCCACUUGGCGUUAGGCGGGUAAGGGGGCCCGAAGGCCGAGCUCGCAAAGGCCAAGCGCCCAGGGCCUAGCAUGCCAGACACCCACCUACUUCACUGGCCGGUGAUCUUGGAUGAGGACUGAUUCCAUUUCCUCCCUGUGAAAUAGGGGAAAUAGUACGAUUUCGUGGCCUUUCACAGAAUCUUCGCUUCCUGGAAAGUUUGUGCCCUUUCUCCAGCCUCGGAAUGGGGAAAGAUGAGGGCAUCAAGGCUCAGCAACAUGAAGUUCCCCAGCCCAAGCCCCUAAGUUGUGUGGCAGGCAUCAGGACUGUGGUCAUCCUGGGCAUUUAGCCCCUCUCUCUGCCUACUGCUUCCUGAAACUGACCCUGGACCUGGACUUGUUACUCAGACCUGGAUCAUCACAGACCAGAGCCUAAUCAGCUUCCCAAGAUGCCUUGUGAAUGGUGGACAGGUGCCCCUUGAGAUGGGCAGGGCAGGAUCUGUCCAAAUUUAUCUCACCCGGAGGCUGUCUAAAGGUCUAGGCAGGCCAGGACACACCUUGUGGAAGCCACAACAGUGUCUCAGAGCUGUAGCCCCAGCCGUAAUAGCAAAGAGGAAGGGCAGGGACUUGGGUCCUGGUCCACCCUGUCUAGGGCAGGGCAGAUAGAACAGGCUGCCUCACUUGGUUUAAGGCAGAGAUGGAUCCUGGAGCCUUGGGUGGGGUGCCUGUCUCUCCUCCUGCCAGUCAAGGCACCAACCAUAGUCAGUGCCUACUUCUUUCAGAGAGGAAUCUGACACCAGGGGCAAGAAUGGUUGCACAUCUAUGUGUUACUGUCCUGGUUCUGCUGCCUUCUGACAGUCUGGGUUUGGGUAAUGACCUAACUUGUCAGGCCUCAGUUUUCUCAUCUGUAGUAGGGGAUUAAAUCAUCCCUGGAGUUAGUGGAAGGAUUAAAUAAUAUUUGUAAUGCCACAAAUAAAUAUUUGUUUCCUGUUUGUAUAUGUUUGUUUAUUUGUUUUGAGACAAGGUCUCACUGUGUAGCCUAGGCUGGUCUUGAACUCAGGGCAGUUCUCCUGCCUCACCAUCCUGAAUGCUCUGUUUAC
ensembl:lncRNA